AUUGAACGCUGGCGGCAGGCCUAACACAUGCAAGUCGAACGAGCGGCGGACGGGUGAGUAAUGUCUGGGAAACUGCCCGAUGGAGGGGGAUAACUACUGGAAACGGUAGCUCAUACCGCAUACUAUCGGAUGUGCCCAUAUGGGAUUAGCUAGUUGGUGGGGUAAAGGCUCACCAAGGCGACGAUCCCUAGCUGGUCUGAGAGGAUGACCAGCCACACUGGAACGGAGACACGGCCCAGACUCCUACGGGAGGCAGCAGUGGGGAAUAUUGCACAAUGGGCGGAAGCCUGAUGCAGCCAUGCCGCGUGUAUGAAGAAGGCCUUAGGGUUGUAAAGUACUUUCAGCGGGGAGGCGUUACCCGCAGAAGAAGCACCGGCUAACUCCGUGCCAGCAGCCGCGGUAAUAC
rnacentral:rRNA from 1 species